UACAGAGGGGGCAAGCGUUGUUCGGAAUUACUGGGCGUAAAGGGCGCGUAGGCGGCCGACUAAGUCAGACGUGAAAUCCCAUGGCUCAACCAUGGAACUGCGUCUGAUACUGGAUGGCUUGAGUUCGGGAGAGGGAAGUGGAAUUCCAGGUGUAGCGGUGAAAUGCGUAGAUAUCUGGAGGAACACCGGUGGCGAAGGCGGCUUCCUGGGCCGACACUGACGCUGAGGCGCGAAAGCCAGGGGAGCAAACGGG
rnacentral:rRNA from 1 species